UGCGGGAUCAUCUAGUGGUAGGAUGCGAGAUUCUGGAUCUCGUCGCCCUGGUUCGAAUCCAGGUCCCGCAGCCA
rnacentral:tRNA from 1 species